rnacentral:rRNA from 1 species
AUGUUCUUCUUUAAUAAUGUUGAGACUGCCACCCACCUCACCUUUACUUGUCCCGUGGCUCGUGUGGUCUGGAGGUCGAUUGGGAUGGUAUUGGGGACUGAUUUGUGUCCUAAUGACUAUUGGCAAUAUUAUGUUUGGUGCCAUAGAUUUCUCCCCGCUGAAACAGAAUUCCAUACGGUCGGACUGGCCGCGGUGACUUGGGCUACCUAGCUGGCACACAACAGGGCUACUUUUGAGAAAAAAAUAAUCAAAUCUCCUUUUGAGAUUGUAUUCUCGAUUUGUUCUUUUCUUUUAUACUGGGCAGGUCUCCAACCAAAGGGGGAAGCAACAAAGCUACGGCAAGGCGCUGAGUUGAUCACACCGAACACUAUGAAGCUGAUGAAACUCUAUGAAGAAUCCAGAUGGGCAGUUCAUGAUGCGGGGGGGGGGGUGCUCUCAUGGUGA